rnacentral:lncRNA from 1 species
AGAGGAGAAAACAUGGGUCCUAAUUCAAAUUAACAUUCAUAAUUCGCCAUCAUUGACGGGAAGACCCGAAUUAAUCCCCUUAAUUAUGCCACGAAGAAGCAUAAACACAUUUUAAGAAUAACAUCUGCUCUGUGAGAGUUUGUGGAGACAGACAGAUCCACCACCCACCAUCCAGCUGGUUCUCAAAAGGCAAUUCUAAUGCUACCUGCGGGUCGUGAAGAAAAGAGGAAGAUUUUUCAAUUUAAUUAGCCCCCAAAAAAUAGCAUGGAAAAUACCCCCAAAGGGCCCUAAAUAUACCCUUACCCACUGGGCAUAUUUGUCAAUAAACACUGAAAUUAGGGAUUUUUUCAGGACCCAAACACAAUUGCUAUAGUCGGUGACCCAGAGCCUAUCAAAUUAUAAACUCAUUACGUGUUGCAGUUGGAAUUACAGCUUUAUUCUGUUAGAAUAAAUGAUUAAUUUACACCGACUUGGCUACGCCGCUUUUUUGGUCCAAGCGAAAAUAAAAUAAUUGGAUCUGGAUUUGUAAUUUGCCGCUUUUUAUUUGCAGGUAAUGAAAAUGAAAUAACAAUUUGGAUAUUAGUUAAUUUUGAUAUCACAAGCUAGACAAACACCAUUCUCAAAGCAACUCAAGCAUCAAACACAGGAGGAGGAGGAGGAGGAAGACAAACGAAAUAAAAUCAAUGAAUUAUUUACUCAUAAUAAGGAUAAUAAUCGAAAUCCACAAAUACAAAACCCAUAGUAAUAAACCAAGUGCAUUAUAUAUGUAGUCUAUGCACCACAAAAACCCAUAUGACACUGAAAAUCCUAUAGAUCCAUAAUCACCAGCUACUAAAAUGACAAACGCUACUAAUAAAAAACCAAUCAGAAACCCAACCGCUCUCUACACAGCCCCAACCAUAGUUGCAGUAGUAAGCGAAGACUCAAACCCUGAGCGCAGAUCCGAAGACGAUAGCGGCGAAGGCGGCGGCGAAAGCAGAGAUGAACGACGGGGAGAUGGAGGCGGAUGCGGAGGUUGGGCUAGGAGCUGGAGAUUCGGCGGCCUGAGCGGCGCCGAUGACAGAAAGGACGGUGACGAAGACCGCCAUGAGAGCCACGAGUGAAGUUGCCUUUGAGACUGCCAUUGUUGAUUGGUGUGAGAGUUUCUUGUGCUUCGGAAUCUAGGGUUUUGGGAAUACGCCGAGAGACUGAAGCACAAAUAUCAGAGGUGGAAUGAAGUAGGCUCAAGGAACGUAUUUAUAGCGGGGAUUUUGGGCUGGGGUCGGGCAGCCUGGGCAGCUGCCCGGUUCUACAGGCUGGCUACUUGUGAUUGGUUCAGCGCGACAGCUCACACCGCUGGUCGGGGUAAAUUUUUCUCUGUGGGCCCCACUAGAAACCAGUGUCUACGCGGAGUCGUUU